GAUGAACGCUGGCGGCGUGCCUAAUACAUGCAAGUCGAGCGAACGGACGAGAAGCUUGCUUCUCUGAUGUUAGCGGCGGACGGGUGAGUAACACGUGGAUAACCUACCUAUAAGACUGGGAUAACUUCGGGAAACCGGAGCUAAUACCGGAUAAUAUUUUGAACCGCAUGGUUCAAAAGUGAAAGACGGUCUUGCUGUCACUUAUAGAUGGAUCCGCGCUGCAUUAGCUAGUUGGUAAGGUAACGGCCUACCAAGGCAACGAUGCAUAGCCGACCUGAGAGGGUGAUCGGCCACACUGGAACUGAGACACGGUCCAGACUCCUACGGGAGGCAGCAGUAGGGAAUCUUCCGCAAUGGGCGAAAGCCUGACGGAGCAACGCCGCGUGAGUGAUGAAGGUCUUCGGAUCGUAAAACUCUGUUAUUAGGGAAGAACAUAUGUGUAAGUAACUGUGCACAUCUUGACGGUACCUAAUCAGAAAGCCACGGCUAACUACGUG
rnacentral:rRNA from 1 species